GGGAGCACCACUGAUAACGCGAACGUCAAUCGGCAGAACGGGGCACCGGAAAAAGCACCGGUCGUCACCGGGACCAACAUGGAGACUUUACCGCGACCUGGGAAACAGAGCGAUCCCAGCACGGCGUUCCUGAGGGCAGCCAGGGCGGGGCAGCUGGAGAAAGUUUUAGAGUAUCUGGAAUCGGGGGUUGACAUCAACGCGUCCAAUGCGAACGGAUUGAAUGCUUUGCACUUGGCUGCCAAGGAUGGCCAUUUGGAGAUCGUCAGGGAGUUGCUGACGAGGGGGGCCAUUGUUGACGCCGCCACGAAGAAGGGAAACACGGCUCUGCACAUAGCUUCCCUUGCUGGACAAGAGGAAGUCGUGCAGCUACUUGUUCAGCGUGGGGCGUCCGUGAAUGCACAAUCGCAGAAUGGAUUCACUCCCUUGUAUAUGGCUGCUCAAGAAAACCACGAUUCCGUCGUCAAGUUCCUGCUUAGUAAAGGCGCUAAUCAGACCCUUGCAACAGAGGAUGGUUUCACACCUCUGGCUGUGGCUAUGCAACAGGGUCACGAUAAAGUUGUUGCCGUGUUGCUGGAAAGCGAUACCCGUGGUAAAGUUCGAUUACCGGCACUCCAUAUUGCCGCGAAGAAGGACGACUGCAAGGCUGCGGCGUUGCUCCUACAGAACGAUCACAAUCCCGACGUGACGUCGAAGAGUGGAUUCACGCCGCUCCACAUCGCCGCUCACUACGGCAACGAUCGAAUCGCUUCCUUGCUCUACGAUAAAGGAGCGGAUGUCAAUUUUGCGGCAAAGCACAACAUUACGCCGAUGCACGUGGCAGCUAAGUGGGGGAAGAUCAAGAUGGUGAAUCUCCUUAUGAGCAAGGGUGCUAAUAUCGAAGCGAAAACGAGAGACGGCUUGACGCCGCUUCAUUGCGCCGCCAGGUCUGGACACCACGAAGUCGUCGAUAUCCUCAUAGAAAAGGGAGCGCCGAUUGGCUCGAAGACGAAGAACGGCCUUGCACCGCUGCAUAUGGCCUCUCAAGGGGACCACGUGGAUGCUGCAAGGAUCCUGCUGUACCAUAGAGCACCUGUCGACGAAGUCACCGUAGAUUAUUUGACCGCUCUCCACGUGGCAGCCCACUGUGGCCACGUGCGAGUUGCUAAACUCUUGCUUGAUAGAAACGCCGACCCCAAUGCCAGGGCACUCAAUGGAUUCACGCCUUUGCACAUAGCUUGUAAGAAGAACAGGAUAAAGGUCGUCGAGCUCCUGCUUAAGCACAAGGCCAGCAUCGAAGCUACCACCGAGUCGGGACUGACUCCGCUGCACGUCGCAAGUUUCAUGGGGUGCAUGAACAUCGUGAUCUACUUGCUGCAACACGAGGCCAGCCCGGACAUACCUACGGUGCGAGGGGAGACGCCUCUUCACUUGGCAGCUAGGGCUAAUCAGACCGAUAUUAUCAGGAUACUUUUGAGAAACGGAGCUCAGGUUGACGCCAGAGCAAGGGAGGAGCAAACUCCACUUCACGUCGCUUCUAGGCUGGGCAACGUCGACAUCGUGAUGUUAUUGCUGCAGCACGGAGCUGACGUUGACGCCACCACGAAAGACCUUUACACUCCUCUCCACAUAGCCGCUAAGGAGGGGCAAGAAGAGGUUGCGUCUGUUUUGUUGGAAAACGGAGCUUCGCUUACCGCAACCACGAAGAAAGGGUUCACUCCUCUGCACUUGGCAGCUAAAUACGGCAACAUGAGCGUUGCGAGGCUUUUGUUGCAAAAAAACGCCCCGGUCGAUGCUCAAGGAAAGAUGGACAUUGCGACUACUUUGCUGGAAUACGGAGCCAAGGCAAAUGCGGAAUCAAAGGCUGGAUUCACGCCGCUUCAUUUGAGCGCUCAGGAGGGACACACCGACAUGUCUACGUUGCUUAUCGAACACAAAGCAGACACAAACCACAGAGCAAAGAAUGGUCUUACGGCACUUCAUUUGUGCGCUCAAGAGGACAAGGUCAACGUGGCUUCUAUUCUGGUGAAGAAUGGUGCUGAAAUCGAUGCCACGACGAAGGCUGGAUACACACCGUUACACGUGGCAGCUCAUUUUGGUCAAGCAGCUAUGGUGCGGUUCCUCCUGAGAUCAGGUGCUACAGUGGACAGCAGCACAGGUGCUGGUUACACACCUUUACAUCAAGCUGCUCAGCAAGGACAUACAUUGGUCAUCAAUUUGUUGCUCGAAAGCAAAGCCAAACCCAAUGCUGUCACCAACAAUGGUCAAACAGCGCUGGACAUAGCACAAAAACUUGGCUACAUCAGCGUCGUCGAGACAUUAAAAGUCGUGACGGAGACUGUCAUCACGACCACACAUACCAUUACCAUCGAGGAGAAAUAUAAGGUGCAGGCUCCCGAAUCCAUGCAAGAGACGUUCAUGAGCGACAGCGAAGACGAAGGUGGUGGCGAUGAAAUCGGCAUGGCAGCCAUGAAUGUGUACGGGCAGCCUCCUCACGCGCAACACGUGUACCUCCCUUCCUACUACCAGGGCCAAAUGACCUACACUCGCGAAGACCCGAUGUUAAGCGACCAGCAGCAAUAUCGCUACAUGACCGUCGACGAUAUGAAAUCCAUGGGGGAUGAUUCCAUGAGAGUCAACGUCACCGACGACGAGAGGGACAACAGGCACCCUGGGGCACCGACCAUAACGGAGAUGAUUACCAAGGAGAGUUACCAGCGUUCCAACGCGGCGAAUCUCAAACCCGACAACGUCGACAUUAACAAGCAUCCCAUUCACGUCGGAAUUCCACAGUGGAGAAACUUCCUGGUUUCCUUCCUGGUGGAUGCCAGAGGCGGUGCCAUGAGGGGAUGUCGACACAGUGGGGUCAGGGUGAUCGUUCCACCUAGAAAAGCCGCGAUGCCGAUGCGAGUCACCUGUCGGUACUUGAAGAGGGACAAAUUGACGAAUCCUCCUCCUUUGAUGGAAGGCGAGGCCCUGGCGAGUCGGAUUCUGGAACUAGGACCUGUUGGUGCAAAAUUCCUUGGACCCGUGAUAAUAGAGGUGCCGCAUUUCGCGUCCCUGCGAGGAAAGGAACGAGAAAUCGUGAUCCUGCGAUCUGACAAUGGAGAAACCUGGCGAGAGCACACCCUGGAGGCCAGCGAGGAGGCCGUCCAGGAUGUGCUUAACGAGAGCUUCGAAGGGGAAGAGUUAAGCCAGCUAGAAGAUCUUCAAACGUCGAGGAUCGUGAGGAUCCUUACCGUGGACUUUCCUCACUACUUCGCCGUAGUGUCGCGCAUCAGACAGGAAGUUCACGCAGUUGGUCCAGAAGGUGGUACCGUUUCCUCUUCCGCCGUGCCACAGGUGCAAGCCGUGUUCCCGCCGGCAGCUCUCACGAAAAAGAUCAGAGUUGGCCUGCAGGCCCAUCCCAUUCCCGCGGAAUUGGUCGCAAAGUUGCUGGGCAAUCGAGUGGCGGUAUCCCCGAUCGUCACCGUCGAACCAAGGCGAAGGAAGUUCCACAAACCGAUUAUUUUGACGAUACCUGUACCCCAGGCUGCGAAUAAAGGCAUGAUCAAUCAGUACUCUGGGGAUGCUCCGACUCUGAGGCUCUUGUGCAGCAUAACUGGGGGUCAGUCUCGGGCAGUCUGGGAGGAUGUCACCGGAUCCACCCCAUUGACAUUUGUCAAAGAUUGUGUCUCCUUCACAACGACCGUGUCUGCACGAUUUUGGCUGAUGGAUUGCCGAAACAUUUCCGAGGCCACGAAAAUGGCCACCGAACUUUACACGCACGCAACCCACGUGCCAUUUAUGGCUAAAUUUGUCGUCUUUGCAAAACGUGUAGAUCCGCUGGAGGCGCGAUUACGUGUAUUUUGCAUGACGGACGAUAAGGAGGAUAAGACCCUGGAGCACCAAGAACACUUUACAGAAGUCGCUAAAAGUCGGGACGUCGAGGUUCUCGAAGGCAAGACCCAAUAUAUGGAGUUCGCCGGAAACCUCGUUCCUGUUCUGAAGAGUGGAGAACAGCUUCAGCUGCCUUUCAGAGCCUUCAAAGAAAAUAGAGUUCCAUUUACCGCCAGAAUAAAGGACCCCGAUGCAGCCGACAUGAUGGGUCGCAUAAUGUUCAUGAGCGAGCCAAAGGUUGCGAAAGGCGAACCACCGCAAACUCCUAUCUGCACCCUGAACAUCCUGUUGCCGGAGAAGAUCUCGCCGGAAGCUGCUUCAUCCGAACUAGACCUGCUGGAAUUGUCCAAGAAUUACAGUUUCUUACGAGAUGGAGGCAUCAGUAGACCAGAUGCGAUACACAGAGCGACCAUCCGACUAACCGACAUCGCCAAUCUGCUGGACACGGAUUGGGAAAAGUUGGCGGAGGAGCUAAAUAUUCCGCCGAACGAGGUCAGCACCAUAAAACAAGAGUACCCUGGAAAGCCUGCUCAACAAGCUGCAGCCAUGUUCAAAAUCUGGCAGGGCAACGGCAACAAAGCAACAGGUAACACGUUGGAGAAGGCGUUGAAUAAAAUUGGUAGGGAGGACAUCGUGAAGAAGUGUAUAUUCAACGUGGAAUUGGUAACCGAUGACGUGGAAAAAGCGGUGGCUAGGGUCAGGCUAGACCAGCCAGGAUUUGACUCCUUGAAGGAAGAAUUAGGACCUUCCAGGGAUACGUCUCUUCGCCGAGAUGCGACGAUGGAUCCCAAAAUGGACCCGGAUUACGAAGAACCCGAUCGAAUGAAGGACUCUGAAUCGGUGGAGGACCUCAGCAUGCAGGGGAUGACGCCCCUUAAGAAAUCCAAUCAGCACAUCACUAUCACAAACGGCACAGUGCCCAACGGAACCUCGACCCCCAUCAAAGACAAAUAUGCCAGUGACGAGAAAGAGCUCGGAGACGUGAUGGCAGAUUUCAUAGAGCAUAAGUGUCAGGUCUCAGACUCUAUGUCGAAAAAGUCCCGCGAUGACCCUGACGAUGAGAAUAAAAAGCGACAACGAGUCCUCGACGACGCCAACAAAUUAGUCGCCGGUGUAAUACAAGACGCUGAGAAAGAGAAGGGGAAGUUAGCGAAGGAAGGGUGGUCGGUGGUUUUUGAUGAUGAUGUGCGCGAGGACGAGCGGAUCGAAGGUGCGGUAGGUCAGCAACCAGCUCGAGUAGAGCAUAUAGUUUCGCUCCAAUCGGAAGGUCUUCAGGAUGUCGAACCACCGGUAGUUAAAAGGCAGCGUCCCGUGGGAGGUAAAGUAGACCCGAGGGUGCCCACCGUCUCGACGAAGACGGUGGUCACUAGACAAGAUGACCCGAGUUUAGGUCAGACAGUCGUAACCGAGACCACGGUGGUCAAGGAAUCCGUAGGUUCGGUUCCAUUCGGUGAGACCCAUUUCUUCGGUCCUUCCGACCCUGUGAUAGGCGUAGCCAGGACUGGGCAGGAAUUGGAAACCGUCGUUAGGGAGGAAAGAACGGACUCGACCGUGACCACGGAAAUCACGACGACGACGGAAAUAGUGACAUUAAAAGGACCCACUUUGGUUUCCUUCGGUCAGGAUAGUGCGACGGAUAGAGUAGAUCCUCUGAAGGGUAAGGUCAUCGUGUCCGGCUCGGUUACGGAGGUUGAGGUAGGUCAGGAUGGUAGGGUACGUCAGGGACCCAAGGUAGAGAGCGCUCAAGGGAAGGUUUCUGGCGUCAAAGGGAAGGACGAUGGUAGAGAUGGGGUCACCAAGAGCGUCGUCAAGGUGUACCCUGACGCGGAUUCGAUGAAGAAGGAGAUCUCGAGUGAGAAAGAGAAGAUGUCGAAGGAGGGGAAGGAGGUGGACGAGAAGUCCAAGGAGAAGAAGGAUGGCAAGGGGACCCUGAAGAAGGGGGAGGGGAAGGCUGGGAAGGAGUCUCCUGCGAAGGAGAAACCUGCCGAUGAUAAACGCGCUUCUGCCUAUGAAGUCGUGUAUAAUGCUCAGCAAACUGCUGAAGGAUCUAAGGAGGAUUUGGGACCGGAAGGGAAGAAGAAGGAGAAAUCCGGAGGACUCUUCUCGGGCAUGUUCAAGACUCCGAAGCUGAAGAAGGGGAAGUCCAGGGACUCCAAGGACCUGUCCUUCGAUAGCGGAGAUGAGGACACCAAGGAGGCUACGAAGAAGUUCCUGGAGGACACCAGAAGAGUCGCCGAUGCCACUCAUCGCGAAAAUAAGCUUCUGGGAGCACCUUUGGUUGCAGUCAGCGGAGAACCUGUCGAUCCUAUACUCGCGACGGCGGAAUUCUUGAGCGACUCCAGGAAAACUGCUACGAUUCUGCAGGUACACGAGAUGUCCCCCAAGGACGCGAAAAUUUCGCAAGAUUCCAAGGAGAAGACUGCCCAGGUCAAGGAGAAGCCCGAAGUACAGGGUGCGACUAGUGAAGACGAUGCGGAUGAUGGGAAGGAGAAGGGCGGCUUCUUCUCCAGCUUCUUCAAGGGAGUCAAGGGGAAGAAGGAAAAACUUGCCGAUGAUAUCGACUCGGCUGCAGAUGAUGCGAGGCGAAGCACAGAGGUUGCCGAAGCUAAGGUGAAGAAGGACACGGAGGAAGCGAGCUCCGAAGUCAAAAACAUUAAGGAUAAGCUUGGCAAAGACGUCGAGACCCUGAAAGGAGAAGCGAAGAAAUCCGAGGACGCAGUGAAGGAGGGGACGAAGAAGGUUGUCGUUGAAAUUAAACAGGAUGUUCACGCAACCGCAAGAGAAGCUGAAGACUUUCUUAAGUCUGCAGCCGACAAGUCUACGAAGGCCAUCGACGAAGGCAAGGAAAUCAAGGAUGCAGCGAUAAAGGACAUUAAAGAUGGCGUCCAGAAAACUCGCGAAGAGGUCGUUAAUACUUCCGACGAAAUCAGCGACAAAGCAAAAAGCGGAGCGAAAGAGGUCGCUAAGAAAGUCGGCGAUGUCGUUGAGGAUGUUGAAGAAGCCAAAGAUAAGGCAUUGGAAGACGCGAAAGAAGCUGCCGAGGAGGUCAAGGAUAAGAGUGGCGGGUUCUUUGGCAUCUUCAAGAGCCCAAAGACGAAGGGGAAGAAACGAAGCAAGUCGAAAGACAAGAGCUCUUCCAAGGAGACGUCUUUUGACAGCGGAGACGAAGAGCUGAGGAUUGCCACUGCGAAGUUUUUGAACGACACCAAAAAAAUUGCCGAGAGCACCGUCGAAGGUGAGGUGAGCAAAGAGAACAGGAAGGACUCCAUGGACAGAUUCGUCGCGAGGAAUUACGAAGAGGACACCCCGAAGGAGAAAAUCAAAGGUACUUCUUACGAAGUAACCAUCGCUGAGAAAAUUAAAAUCACCGAAAAGGUCGACGGCGUCGAAGCCGACAAGAAGUCGAGCAAGGAUGUCGCAAAAAAAGCGAAGGAGGAGCCGAAAGAGGUCCUUUCCAAGAGAAUUACCAGCAGCUCGGAGGAUAUUUCCGAGAAGGAGGUGCCGAAAACGAUCAAGGAGUUGUCUGAAAAAUCAACCGACGAUGGAAAGGACUCCGAAGACGACUCGAAGAGCAGCGCCUUCUUCGGCAUGUUCAAGAGCCCGAAGCUGAAGACGAAGAAACGAGGGAAGUCGAAGGAGCCGGUCUCUUCGCAGGAUACUUCGUUCGAAGCUGACGAGGACUUAAGAAAUGCGACGAGCAAAUUUUUGGAAGAUACUAGAAAAACGGCAGACAGCAUGCGCCACCCUGGAGAAGAGAGUCUCGUUGGAAAACGAAAUGGCGAUCAUCGUCCAGAAUCGUCUCUGAUCGAUGAAGUCAACGAAGCGAAGAGGGAAAUGCUGGAGAGACAAGUUGGUGAGGCGAAGGACAUGCCGACAGAUGCCAAGGAUAAAAGCGGAGGGAUCUUCAGCAUCUUUAAGAGCCCAAAGACCGCGGUCAAGAGAAGAAGUAGAUCAAAGGAUAAGAGCUCUUCCACCGACGUUUCCGUGGAUAGUGGAGAUGAAGAAGUCCGAGUAGCAACGGCCAAAUUUUUGGAGGACACCAGAAAUGCCGCCAACCUCAUUCACGACGAUUAUCGUCCUGGCGAUCCCGCUAAAAAAGCUGAUAAACAUGUUGCAGGAACUAAUGGAGUCGUGGAGAGUGCAAAAGAUGCUGCUAAGAAAUUGGCGGAUAAAACAAAGGAGGUAGACGAAGCGGUAGCGACGGAGGUGAAGGAAGCGACGAAGCAAGCUAAAGACAAAGCGAAAGCUGGAGAAGAGGUCAUUGUAGAUACAGCUGAAGAGAGUAAGGAUAAAGCCGCGAAAGAAGCGAAGAAAGCCAAGGAAAAGAGUGGUGGAUUCUUGUCUGGCAUCUUCAAGGGUGCAAAACACGCCGUUGACGAGGUUACCGGAGACGUAAAAGAGUUCUGGGAAGAAACGAAGGAAGAAGCGGUGGAAGAAGAAGAGCGCGCGAGAAAAGCUGCCGAAGAGGCUGCGAAAUCUGCAAAGGACUCGAAGGACAAAGCAACGAAGGAUGUGACAGAUGCAAAGGAUAAAAUAGCGAAAGAGGUGGCAGAAGACGUGCAGAAAGUUGCGGAUGCGGCGAAAGUAGCGAAGGAUAAAACAGCGGAAAAAGUUGCAGUAGGGAAAGAUGCAGUUGUAGAUGCAGCUAAAGCAACGGAAGAAAAAAUUGCGAAGGGUGCAGCUGAGGUGAAGGAAGGGGUUAAGGGAACCGCACAAAGUGUCAAGGAUGAUGCCAAGGCAGCAAAGGAUGCCAUUAGCCAGGAAAUUAAGGAAGAUGCGAAAAUCGUGAAGGAUAAAGUCAAAUCCGGUGUCGAAGCUGUCGGCGAGACGGCGGAAGCAACUAAAGAGAAAGCAGCGAAAGAGGCGAAAAAGGCAAAAGAGAAGAGUGGAGGAUUUUUAUCAGGCAUUUUCAAAGGUGCGAAACACGCGGUAGACGAGGUCACCGAAGAGGCGAAGGAAUUCUGGGAAGAAACUAAGGAAGAAGCGACCGAAGAAGAAGAGCGAGCGAAGAAAGCUGCGGAAGAAGCUGCGAAGUCCGCAAAAGAUGCGAAGGAUAAAGCGGCAAAAGAUAUAAAAGAUGUGAAGGAUAAAAUAACGAAGGAGGUCUCGGAGGAUGCACAAAAAGUCACGGACGCGGCGAAAGCAGCAAAGGACAAAACCGCGGAAAAAGUGGCAUCAGGGAAGGACGCAGUGGUGAGUGCAGUUAAGACAACGGAGGCGAAAAUCGCUAAAGGUGCAUCUGCAAUUGCGGAAGGUGCAAAGGACACUGCACGUGAAGUCGGUGACCAGGCUACAAAAGCAAAGGACGCUGUCAGUCAAGAAAUUAAGGAAGAUGCGAAAUUAGCAAAGGAUAAGGUCAAGUCAGGCGUUGAAGCUGCAGACGAGGCAGCGGAAGCGACGAAAGAAAAGGCCGCGAAAGAAGCGAAAAAAGCGAAAGAAAAAACUGGUGGAUUUUUAUCAGGCAUCUUUAAGGGUGCGAAACACGCCGUAGAUGACGUAACCGAGGAUGUGAAAGAAUUCUGGGAUGAUACCAAGGAAGAAGCCGCCGAAGAAGAGGAGCGUGCGAAAAAAGCUGCAGAAGAAGCUGCGAAGUCCGCGAAAGAAGCGAAGGAAAAAGCAGCACAGGACGUCAAGGAUGCGAAGGAUAAGACGGUAAAAGAGAUCUCAGAUGAUGCGAAGAAAGUCGUGGAUUCAACGAAAACAACAAAGGAAAAGGCUGAAGAGAAAGUCGUGAAAACUGCAUCGUCUGUGGCAGAAGGAGUAAAGGACGCUGCACAUGCAGUUGGAGAACAGGUUGCAAAGGCAAAAGACGCUGUCGGCAAAGAAGUCAAAGAAGACGCGAAGUUAGUCAAAGAUAAGGUGAAAUCCGGCGUUGAAGCGACUGCAGAUGCAGCUGAAGCAACCAAGGAAAAGGCUGCAAAGGAGGCGAAGAAAGCGAAGGAGAAAACCGGCGGCUUCUUGUCGGGCAUCUUCAAGGGUGCGAAGCACACUUCCGAAGAAGUUGUAGAUGAUGUUUCGGAAUUCCUGGAAACCACGAAAAGGGAAGCUGCAGAAGAAGAAGAACGGGCGAGAAGAGCUGCCGAAGAGGCUGUUAAGUCCGCUAAAGAAGCAAAGGAAAAAGCCGUUAAAGACGCCAAGGACGCGAAAGAGAAAAUUGCGAAAGACGUCAAGGAUGCUAAGGAUAAGGUGGCGAAAGAGAUAUCCGACGACGCCCAAAAAAUUGCAGAUGCUGGAAAAGCAAUCAAAGAUAAAACCGCAGAAAAGGUUGCUGCAGGACGAGAUGCAGUGGCAGAUGCAGUUAAAACCACGGAAGAAAAGAUCGCUAAAGGUGCGGUGACCGUAAAGGACACUGCUCAGGAAGUUGGAGACCGGGCUGCAAGAGCAAAGGACAGUGUCGGUAGAGAAAUCAAAGAAGAUGCGAAAUUAGUAAAGGAAAAAGCCAAAUCAGGCGUCGAAGCUGUAGGCGAGGCUGCGGAAUCGGCAAAGGAGAAAGCAUCGAAAGAAGCGAAGAAAGCAAAGGAGAAGAGUGGAGGAUUUUUGUCGGGCAUUUUCAAAGGCGCGAAACACGCCGUGGGUGAAGUAACAGAGGAUGUCAAAGAAUUCUGGGAUGAGACUAAGGAAGAGGCUGCAGAAGAAGAAGAGCGCGCCAAAAAAGCUGCAGAAGAUGCCUCAAAGAGCGUUAAGGAUGCAAAGGACAAGGCUGAAGCUGAAGCUAAAGAGGCCAAGGAUAAAAUUGCAAAGGAGCUCUCCGAAGAUGUAAAGAAAGUCUCCACUGUCGCGAAGGACGUUAAAGACAAAGCUUCCGAAAAAGUGGCUGCAGGUGUAGACGAAGUGGACGAUGCAGCAAGGACCGUGAGUGGCAAAGUUGCAAAAGGAAUCGCCGGAGUCGUGGAAGGCGCCAAAGACACUGCUCACUCCUUGGCGGAAGGAGCUAAGGCUACAAAAGACUCUGCAGCUGCAGAGGUAAAGGAGGACACGAAAAUCGUGAAAGAAAAAAUCAAAUCUGGCGUCAGCGCAACUGCUGAUGCAGUUUCCGCUACUAAAGAGAAAGCAGCAAAGGAGGCAAAGAAGGCCAAAGAGAAGAGCGGAGGAUUCCUGUCCGGCAUAUUUAAGGGCGCGAGACACGCGGUAGAGGAAGUGACGGAAGACGUGAAGGAAUUCUGGGACGAAACGAAGGACGAAGCCGAAGAAGAAGAAGAGCGGGCCAAGAAAGCUGCAGAGGACGCUGUGAAAAGCGUCAAAGACACGAAGGAUAAAGUCACAAAAGACUCUGCAGACGCGAAGGACAAGCUUGCGAAGGACGUGAAAGAGGCGAAGGACAAAGUGACAAAGGAAAUAUCGGACGAUGCCCAGAAAAUUGGGGAUGCAGCCAAAGCGGCGAAAGAAAAAACUGUGGAAACAGCAGCUGCAGGACGAGAUGCGGUUGUGGAUACUGCGAAGAAAGCAGAGCAAGAAGUGGCAAAAGGAGCUGCCGGUAUUGUGAAAGGGGCGAAGGAUGUUGCCCAGACCGUCAGCAAGGGGGCAACCAAGGCUGAAGAAAGCAUCAGCAAAGAAAUCAAAGAAAAUGUUAAAGUUGUAGAAGACAAGGCCAAAGCCGGAGCUGAAGCCGUUGCUGAAACCGCAGAAACUGCGAAGAGCAAGGCAGCGAAGGAAGUGAAGAAGGCUAAGGAGAAGACCGGAGGCUUUUUGUCUGGAAUCUUCAAAGGCGCAAAACACACCGCGGAAGAAGUAACUGACGAUGCCAAACAAUUUCUGGAACAUACUAAAAAGGAAGCGGCCGAGGAAGAAGAGCGCGCUAGAAAAGCUGCAGAGGCUGCCAAAGACGAAAAAGACAAAGCCAUAGCCGGAGCGAAGGACGUAAAGGACAAAGUUGCAAAAGAGAUCUCUGACGAUGCUCAGAAAAUCGCGGAUGCCUCGAAAGCUGCGAAGGAUAAGACCGUGGAAACUGUUGCAGCAAGUCAUGAUGCCGUGGCAGAUGCAGUGAAACAAGCGGAGGAUAAAGUUGCAAAGGGGGCUGCAAAGAUAGAGAAAGACGUAAAAGGUGCUACUCGGUCCGUCAGCGAGGGAGCAAAAUCUGCGAGAGAGAGUGUCGAAAAGGAAAUUGAGGAGGAUGCCAAACUCGUGAAGGAGAAGGUAAAAUCCGCGGCAGAUGCAGUUGCAGAUUCCGCCGAAGCCACGAAGGACAAGGCUGCGAAGGAGGCGAAGAAAGCCAAAGAGAAGGCUGGAGGAUUCCUGUCCGGCAUCUUCAAAGGCUCAAAGCACACUGCUGAAGAAGUUACCGAUGACGCUAAACAAUUUCUCGAAGAAACAAGGAGGGAAGCUGCAGAGGAGGAAGAGCGUGCCAGAAAAGCUGCCGAAGAAGCCUCGAAGAGCCUCAAGGAAGCAAAGGACAAGGCCUCGAAGGACCUCAAGGACACCAAGGAUAAGAUCUCGAAGGAAAUUUCCGAGGACGCAAAGAAGGUCGCAGAUGCUACACAAUCUACCAGUGACAAAGUUGCAGCAGGAGCAGCAAGUAUUGUGGAAACUGCAAAAGAGACGGUGCAAGGAUUGAGCGAGGGAGCAAAGACCGCGAAGGAUUCGAUGGCAAAGCAGGUGAAGGACGAGGCAAAGUCCGUAUCGGAAAAGGUAAAAUCUGGAGCUGAAGCUACGGCGGAGUCUGCCGAAGCUGCAAAAGAGAAAACUGCAAAGGAGGCCAAGAAAGCCAAGGAGAAGGCCGGUGGAUUUUUCUCGGGGAUCCUGAAGGGUGCCAAGCAAGGUGCUGAUGAGGUUGCAGAAGAUGUCAAGGACUUCUGGGAUGAAACCAAGAAGGAAGUAGCAGAGGACGAAGAGCGAGCAAGGAAAGCUACCGAAGACGCUGCCAGAGCUGCUAAAGAGGCCAGAGAUAAGACCUCAAAAGGUGUUAAAGACGCGAAAGACAAAAUAACUCAAGAAGUCGCCGAAGAUGCGAAGAAGGUUGCAGACGCUGCCGAAGCUGCGAAGAAAGAAACUCUCGAGAAAUUAACUGCCGGGAAAGAAACCGUUGACGAAGCUGCGAAAGCAGCAGCCGAUAAAGCUGCGAAAGGUGCUGAAAAAGUUGCUGAAGAGACGAAGGACGCUGCUCAGUCCGUUGCCGAAGGUGCUAAAGCGGUGAAAGAGAAGGCUGUAAAAGAGACGAAGAAGGCCAAGGAAAAAGGCAGCGGAUUUCUGUCUGGGAUCUUCAAAGGAGCGAAACAUACAGCUGAUGAAGCUGCAGAUGACGUUAAGGAAUUCUUAGACGAGACGAAGAAAGAAGCAGAAGAGGAAGAGGAGCGUGCCAAACGAGCGGCUGAUGACGCUUCCAAGAGUGUAAAGGAUGCCAAGGACAAGGCUGCCGCUGGUGUCAAGGAUGUCAAGGACAAAAUUGCAAAGGAAAUAACAGACGAUGCUAAAAAAAUUGCAGACGCUGCGAAAACGGCAAAAGACGCUGUCGUGGAAAAGGCAGGUGCAACGCGAGAUGGAGUGACAGAAGUCGUGCAGAAAACAGAGAACAAAGUUGCGAAAGGAGCUGCCGAGGUGCGAAAAGAUGUGCAGGUGGCUGCACAUUCAGUAGGCGAGGGAGUAAAAAGUGCAAAGGAAAGUGUCAGCAAAGAAGUGAAGGAAGAUGCUGAGUUUGUAAAGGAUAAAGUGAAGUCUGGAGCAGAAGCCGUUGCUGAGACUGCUGAAUCUGCAAAGGAGAAGGCGACGCAGGAGGCGAAGAAGGCUAAAGAGAAGGCUGGAGGAUUCUUGUCUGGCAUCUUCAAAGGCUCCAAACACACUGCAGAGGAAGUUACGGAUGAUGCGAAAGCAUUUUUAGAAGAAACCAGGAAGGAAGCGGCCGAAGAAGAAGAACGAGCAAGACAAGCAGCUGAGGAAGCUGCGAAAGCUGCGAAGGAUGAUAAGGACAAAGCCGUAGCCAGUGCAAAAGACGCAAAAGACAAGGUUGGACAGGAAGUUUCGCAGGAUGCCCAACAGGUUGCCGAUGUCGCAUCAGAAGCAAAGAAAGCAAAAGACAAGAGUGGAGGAUUUUUGUCGGGCAUUUUUAAAGGUGCAAAGCAUGCCGUCGAUGAAGUGACGGAUGACGUUAAGGAGUUCUGGGAUGAAACGAAGACGGAGGCAGCGGAGGAAGAAGAGCGUGCCAGGAAAGCAGCAGAGGAUGCUGCAAAAUCUGCCAAGGAUGCAAAAGACAAGGCUGCGAAGGAUGUGAAGGAGGCCAAGGACAAGGUCGUGAAAGAAAUUUCAGAAGACGCUCAAAAAGUUGCCGAUGCCGCCAAAGCAACAAAAGAUAAGGCCGCAGAAAAAGUUGCAGCAGGACGAGAUGCAGUGGUCGAAACUGUUAAAGUGACCGAAGAAAGAGUCGUUAAAGGAGUUGUCAAAGUAGAGAAAGAUGUAAAGGAUGCUGCCCAGUCUGUGAGCGACGGUGCAAAGAGUGCAAAGGAUGCAGUCGAAGAAGAUGCUAAGAUCGCGAAGGAGAAGAUAAAAUCUGGAACAGAGGCUGUUGCAGAUGCCGCAGAAGUUACUAAGGACAAAGCCGCAAAGGAGGCGAAAAAGGCCAAGGACAAGACUGGAGGAUUUUUAUCCGGCAUCUUCAAGGGUGCGAAACAAGGAGCUGAAGAAGUCACCGAUGACGUCAAGAGCUUCUUGGAGGAAACGAAAAAGGAGGUAUCGGAAGAACAAGAACGCGCAAGAAAGGCGGCAGAGGACGCUGCGAAAUCUGCAAAAGAUGCAAAAGACAAGGCUGCGAAGGAUGUGAAGGAGGCCAAGGACAAGGUCGUGAAAGAAAUUUCAGAAGACGCUCAAAAGGUCGCCGAUGCCGCCAAAGCAACGAAAGAUAAGGCUGCAGAAAAAGUUGCAACAGGACGAGAUGCAGUGGUAGAGACUGUAAAAGUGACAGAAGAAAAAGUCGUCAAAGGAGCUGCCAAAAUAGAGAAAGAUCUAAAGGACGCUGCCCAGUCUGUGAGCGAUGGUGCAAAGAGUGCAAAGGAUGCAGUCAAAGAAGAUGCUGAAAUCGUGAAGGCGAAGAUAAAAUCCGGCACAGAGGCUGUUGCAGAUGCUGCAGAAUCUACCAAGGACAAAGCAGCAAAGGAGGCGAAGAAAGCCAAGGAAAAAUCCGGCGGAUUUCUGUCGGGCAUCUUCAAGGGCGCAAAACAUGCCGUGGAUGAAGUGACCGAGGAUGUCAAAGAAUUCUGGGACGAGACAAAGGAAGAGGCUACAGAAGAAGAGGAGCGCGCAAGGAAGGCUGCAGAAGAUGCAGCCAAAAGCGUCAAAGACACCAAGGACAAAGUCGCGGCAGGUCUUUCGGAUGUAAAAGACAAAGCAUCUAAAGAAAUUUCCGAGGAUAAGCAGAAAAUUGCCGACGCCUUGAAGACAACGAAAGAUAAAGUUUCAGACACGGCAGUAGCAGGUCGUGACGCGGUUGCAGAUUCUGCCCAAGCGGCAAGUGAAAAAGUUGCAAAAGGCGCUGCUGCAGUUGCAGAGGGAGUAAAGGGCGCCGCUAAAUCCGUGGCGGAUAAAACGAAAGCUACGAAGGACUUGGCGGUGGAGGAAGUGAAGGAAGACGCAAAAAUUGUGAAAGAUAAAAUCAAGUCUGGAGCCGAAGCCACCGUCGAGGCCGCCGAAUCGGCUACAGAGAAAGCUGCAAAACAGGCGAAGAAGGCAAAAGAAAAGAGCGAUGGAUUUUUGUCUGGCAUCUUCAAGGGAGCGAAGCAGAGCGCCGAUGAUGUUACGGACGAUGUAAAGGAGUUCUUGGAAGAGACGAGAAAGGAAGCUGCAAAAGAGGAAGAACGCGCCAGGCGGGCAGCUGAAGAUGCUGCAAAGUCUGCAAAGGAUGCUGCGGAUAAGGCUGCAAAAUCUGUAAAGGAUGCUGCUGAUAAGGCAGCAAAGGAAACCAAGGAAGCGGCAGAUAAGGCUGCGAAAGAGGCCAAGGAUGUCAAGGACAAAAUUUCCAAGGAGCUUUCCGAGGAUGCGCAGAAAUUAGCCGAUGCAACCAAAGCUGCGAAAGAUAAGACUGUAGAGAAAGCAGCUGAAGGACGAGAUGCCGUAGUGGAUUCUGCCAAAGUGGCGGAAGAAAAGAUUGCAAAAGGCGCUGCCAAAGUAGAAAAGGACAUAAAAGAUGCGGCACAGUCCGUGAGCGAUGGAGCAAAAGGUGUAAAAGACGCCGUCAAGGAGGACGCUGAAAUUGUGAAGGAGAAAAUAAAAUCUGGCGCAGAAGCCGCUGCAGAUGUAGCCGAAUCUACUAAAGACAAAGCCGCGAAGGAGGCAAAGAAAGCCAAGGAAAAGACAGGUGGAUUUCUCUCCGGGAUCUUUAAAGGAGCCAAGCAAAGUGCCGACGAAGUUUCGGACGAAGUAAAGGAGUUCCUGGACGAAACUAAAAAAGAGGCAGCUGAAGAGGCAGAGCGCGCUCGACGUGCCGCCGAAGAAGCUGCAAAAUCCAUCAAGGACGAAAAGGACAAAAUUGCGAAAGAAGCGAAAAAUGCAAAAGAUAAAAUAUCAGAGGGAAUCUCAAAGGACUCGAAGAAGGUUGCAGAUGCUGCGCAGGCUGCAAAGGAUAGGGUUGCAGAAAAAGCAGCAGCGGGUCGCGAUGCGGUUGUAGAUACAAUUAAGACAACCGAAGACAAAGUUGAAAAGGAAGCUGCGAAAGUAAAAAAGGGGGCGAAAGAUGUCGCGCAAUCUGUAAGCAAUGGAGCUAAAAGCGUCAAGGAUGCUGCGAGGAAGGAGGUGGAAAAGGACACCGAAAUCGUGAAGGAGAAGGUGAAGACUGGAACCGAAGCUGUCGCGAAUGCAACCGAAGCUACCAAGGAGAAGGCAGAAAAGGAGGCGAAACAGGCCAAGGAAAAGAGUGGUGGUUUUCUGUCGGGCAUCAUUGAAGGUGCAAAACACGUCGUGGAAGAAGUAACGGACGACGUAAAGGAGUUCUGGGACGAAACGAAGGAAGAAGCCGCUGAAGAGGAGGAGCGCGCACGAAAGGCUGCCGAAGAAGCGGCGAAGAGCGCAAAAGAGGCAAAAGACAAAGUCGUCGGUGACGUAAAGGACGCGAAGGAUAAAGUAUCGAAGGAACUGACCGAAGACAAGAAGAAAGUGGUCGAUUCCGUUAAAUCAACGACCGACAAGGCUGCAAAGGAAGUGAAAAGCAAGGCCGAGAAUCUAGCUCAGUCGGCAAAGGGUGCGAAAGAGUCCACGAAGAAGACAGUCAAAGAAGACGCUCAGAUCGUCAAAGACAAGAUAAAGUCAGGUGCGGAAGCAGUCGCGGACACCGCGGAAAGCGUCAAGGAGAAGACGACGAAAGAGGCCAAAAAGACGAAGGAGAAAAGCGGAGGUCUUCUAUCCGGCAUCAUAAAAGGAGCGAAGCACGCGGUGGGCGAAGUUACGGAGGAGGUGAAAGAGUUCUGGGAAGAGACCAAAGAAGAAGCGGAGGAGGAGGAGGAGGAAAGAUCAAAGCGAGUGGAAUCCCCGUCCAGACCCAGCAAAGAUGCGAAAGAAGAGGUCCCUUCCAAAGAAAUCAAGAGCAAGGAAGACCCCUCGAAGGACACCACGAAGAGCCCCGAAUCCUCGAAGAAAUCCUCGAGUCCAGGGAAAAAAUCCCUGGAAUCGAAGAAAGAGGAGACCCACGUGGUCUCCUUCGACUCUCCCCUGGAGGUCCAAUACACCCCAGCCUCGGUGGACCCCAAAGUGGCGACCCAGAAAUUCCUGGAAGACACCAGGAACGUCGCCCACCGGACCAACUACCCCACGUCCUCCGGUUCUCCGGUGCAAUCCAGGAGCCCUCCGGACAGGGAGCCAUCCGACAAGGAAAAAUCUAAAUCAAAGAAACCCAAGGGUGGCGUGGUCUCCAGCCUGGUGAAGGGGGCGAAGGGCGCCACACACAAGAUCGCAAAAGAGGUGGACCACGCCGCCGAGGGCAUCAAGGGUGUUUCGGAGAAGUUUUGGGAGGACACCAAACGCAUGUCCGGAGCCGCCACGGUCUCGGGUAGCUACGACGUUUCCUCGCCUCCUAGGGACUCUCAGAUAGUCAGGGACGAGGUAGCUACCGAGUCGGAAGUUACCUUAGAGUCUUCGGAGUUGUUGGGUAGGCUUAGCGAUCAGGGAACAGGCUCCUCAGGGUCCGAGUCCAGGUCCAAGACGUCCCCCUCGCGCAUUCCGCAAAAAGUUAGCCCCCUGAAGGAGAAGGUCUCGGUAGUGUCGGUAGUGGAGAGUUCGGUAGAGAAGUCUGAAAGGUCCGAAAGGUCGGAUAGGCUGAUAGCCGGGGUUUCGAGUAGAUUGGAGCACCUCGAGCCUCGUGCACGUCAAACCGUGACCACAGUCGUUACUAAAUCUGUGCGUACGGCGGCGACCCCACCACCCAGCCCCGCCGAGUUCACUGAUGGUAGCAUUAAAGAUGUGACCGAGGAGGCGACCAGGAGGGCCCAAAUUCUCGCCGAGGAGGCCAGAUCGGUAGUACCGGCAGGGCAUGAUUCGGCUGAGAUUGAUGGGACUGUAGAGAGGCAUGCUACUUCUACUCCGACAAAGCAACCCGUCCCCGCCCCGCGUCACUCCACCAAGCCGUCCACCAAAUCAGAUCUUCAUCUAGACCUCGAAGACACAUCCAUCGCACAGCCAACGAAAAGUCACGUCUCGAAACUGCCAGAGCUCGAGGUGAGAUCGCCCCGAAGAAAGGAGCCGAAAGAGGAAUCCAAAGCCAGCCCGAAAAGCAAAAUCCCCGUCAAAGUGCACAUACGAGAGACCGCCGAAGAGCGAAAGACAGAAGCUACUGUCACCAAAACUACGGUAGCUAAGAGCAUCUCCAAAGACAAGUCGGAAGUCGCUUCAAAGACCCUCAGGGGGGUUUCUAAAGUUACAGUGGAAGACAUACUACCCGCCAACGAGAAACCGAAAGAAGCUACCGAGAGACAGGACGUAGUUACCUCCUCCGAAGAGUUCGAUAAAGGCGACAGGAUCGUAAAGACCGUAACUACUGUGACCAGGUCCGGAGAAACUACUGACGGGGCGGAUAAUGAUGAGGUAAGGCACGACAGUAGCUUCACGAGAACUACCGUGACGACGACCUCCGGUGGGGAGCUACCGGACGACGGUGCGUGGCUAUCCGAUCCUAGUUGCGUGACGAGAACGGUAACUACUGUCAGAACUACCUCAGGGACAGUAGCUAGCGACUCAGGGGAACCGAUCACCCGCGACUUCAGCGAGAGGGCGUUUAAAGAGAAACUCGAAGAGUUCGCCAAAGACAGUAGCUUCACGGUAAGGACCGUAAAGACCGCCGUGACGGAGGUGAUCCCUGCCGAGGCGUAUGAGGACAUAUUCAAGGACGCUGGAGUAGCGAAAAGCGUGGAUUAUUCCCAGGAUUUGGCAGGAGUACCUUCCAAAGAUGGGAAGUGUACCGUCGAGAGAACCGUAACUACUGUCCGAAGCAACGCUGGGGAUCUCGGUACUCUCGAAGGUUUCGACUUCAAGGAAGACCUCUCGAAGUCGCUGAUCGUCGAGGCCGGGUCUUUCGAAGGCGAGAGUCCUUCUGGAAUUUUAAGGGAGACCAUUAGCACCGUCAGGUCGGAGUCAGGGGAGCCCGACUCUUGGACGGAGACAGUAGUUACCAAACACCUGUCCGAUGGGAAAGUCGAGACUUGGGAGACCACCAGCAGGUCUGGAGAACAGGAACACUGGGACACUCAGUUCUCCCUCGACACCUCGCCGAGCUCUGGCAACGGGGACGUUUACGUUAAAAAUGGUAACUCGAGGCACGAACUUAACAGCGACUCUGACAGUGACAGUUCACCGCAACCCAGGAGACGGUCUCCCUGCAAGAGGCGGACUCUGGGCAGCUCCAGCGGGUCGGAUGUCGCACUUCAUGAAGGGGCCGAGCUGUCCCCGAUGGAGGACGACCAAGGUACCUCACUCACAGCUAACAUUCUAACAACGCGCAGUUCGAUACGAUUGGUCUGCUCAGACCACCUGGGACAGAGCAGUCCCCUAGGGACUGGUGAGAUGCCUAGGACGAAGACUAGGGAAAAGCCGAGCUGCGUAUGUUGGAUGGUCGUCGCAACCGCGACGUUGGUGGUCCUGCUCGCAUUAAUUCUUGCCCUGGAACCACGUGCAAUCCACACCCUGUCCAGCCAUGCCCCGAGGCAAGCUGGAGUCUGACUUCAUGCAACACAACGAGCCCACUUACAUGGAAACGACCACGACGGAGAUGGGUCCCGAUGGGCAAACGAGAAUAACGAAGACAACGAGGACGAUCACGACGACGACCACGACCUCGGCGUCGGGAGGGCCGGAGGA
rnacentral:misc_RNA from 1 species